UCAUGCAGGACCCAUAAGUUCCUACAUUGAGGAUGCAGGAGUUACACGGGCCCUAUAUGUAGACCAUGCAGGAGUCAUACAGGGUCACAUACGGCCAUAUAGGAGUCAUCCUUUCUCGACCAGUUAAGUCCUUGAAACCCUGAAAUAAGUAAGAACGUGCAGGAACACAUAUCAGCCCUUCUAAAAUCAAUAUAAAAUUUUUACAUGUAAAAAAUUUAUAUUGAAUUUAGGAGGGUGAUAUGUGUUUCAUCAGUUAUUUUAAGCUGCGGCUUAAAAUAACUGAUGCUAGAUUCAUUUUUGGAACAUACAUACAAGUCUAUUAUUGAUCGACCAAACAUCAAACAUAAAAUGAUGCGUGCGUUCCAUGCACACAUUUGGCAUAUUACAGUACUUGGCGUUUUUGAACCGUCCAGUGGUUGUUGAACCCCAUCCAGAGAUACUGCUUUGUCGUUCGAUGGGUUUCCGGGUCUAAUAUCUCGGUCUGUAGCUGUCAUAUCGGGACGCGGUUUUUUGUGACGAAUUCCCGUUUCUUCCCCCUUCGUCUGCAUGCUCGUGGCUUGUGGGAAAUCCUGACAGUUGCCGAGAUAUUUGGAAAUUCAAGGCCCCCAUAGGUGCUUCCGACAUCUCCAAAGUCCCGUACCUCUCGCCCCGUUUGUCGGAUCGAGACCAAAAUUUAGGUCCGAACAGGUCUGGAAUAGCUCUACGAUCGCUCAAAUCACACUAGCAGCUGAUCUCUAGUGGUUUAGAAGUUGUACGAGGAGACGCGUUAGAAGCGCCGUUUUUUCGAACUUCGGGGCCCUUUUUCGGAAAUAAGCUCGCGUCGGACAUGAUGUAUCUUUCGAGAGCAUACUGCUAUCGACGCGGUGCACGUGGUAAAAUAUACCACACUUUUCCAACCCUAGCGGUUCUCGAGUUACAGGUUUCCGCGUUUACUGGCCUCCCGGUACAUGGGACCGACGACUUUUCUCCCCCCCAAAACGUUCCCCUUGCUACAACAUGGUCGUGUUUCCCUUCGUUGUGACAGUCUCGGUGUGCUCUUUCGAACAGCGUUGAUCCCGUAGACGAGCGACGUUCCGUUCUCGCGAUAUCGGCUUAAGAGUACGACGAGGCGACCAGUCCGGCUAGCGCAACUCUGAAACGCUUCCCACUAUUCGGAGUCUCAACUCGCAUACCCGACGUCCGGUUCAGUCGAAAUUGUGCAUGUGCUCUGUUCUCUGCUCUACAACUUUCUCAUUCAAACCACCCGUCCAUUUCCAGCGGUUAAGGCGUCAUUCUCGACAUUCCUGACACCGACCACCAUUUCCUGACUUCACGUCCCACGUUUUCAGGUUCCAAGCCCGCGGCGGAUGCGAAUUUCCUUUUAAUGGAUAAACGCGCUCGACAUAGGCAACGCGUACAAACUUGCGGCACCUUUCUAUCCCUCUCCGUUCCCGAGUUAGGACACCGUGGCAACGGCGGCCCUCUUAUACAUAGGACCGGGGGCAUUUUUCUCGAUAUCGGACUUUUGUUGGAGUAGAAAGGCGAUUGAGGUCUUUUUGACGGGGAAAGCGUCCGCUUUCCGAUAGUAUUAGGUAUUAGUCCCGUCUUCGCGCGACUUUCCGUUCUCUUGCCAUAGUGCGAGGAGCGCCUGAACAGCAUGCAUCUUCCUUCCCUUCCACCGCCGCCACCAGGCGGGGCUCUGGCGUCCAUUUCGCUUGUAAAGUUCGUUGAGGACGGACGCGUUUGUUCUCGCAUCCGGAUUUUCGCGUUUCGUUGUGGCUCUGGGCUAGAGCACUGCACGGGCCGACUUUUCCGGGCCCGACCCGGCCCGGGCGCAUCGAAAAAUGGCCCGGCCCGACCCGGGCCCGGACCAUCAUAUUUUUAUGCGGCCCGGCCCGGCCCGGCCCGGUGACCCAGUGACUAGAGCCCGGCCCGGCCCGGCGUCUAAGCAAAUAGAGCCCGGCCCGGCCCGGCCCGGUGACCCGGCGAGUAGAUCCCGGCCUAGUAUUUCCAGCCGCGACGUACGCGUUUCUGGCGAUUAUCAAACAAAUUUAUAAGUAAAUUUAUAAGGAGAGAAGACAAACAUACAAGUGAUGGCGGUUUAACACCGUAACCGCACGAGACCAAAUUAAAUCCAGAACGCACGGGGCGUUAUCGUUACACUGUCAAGAUUUUGCGGAGAUAGAGCAUGCUGUCAACAAACUGCUUCUCCCAGUCCCUAUCCCUCUCACCAAGCUUUGCCAAAGUGAUUGUGAAAUAUGUGAGGAGUGAGGAGCAAUGUAAAGUGGCUUGGAAAUGUUCUAGAGGGUCGAAUCAUAUGCAUAAUGCAGUACCCUUUGCUUGUCUUUGCAAAAUAUGCACAGGAAUGACGCAAGCGCAUGAUGAUAUGAACUAAUGCAUCUCCAAUGUGUGGAAUUAGCUGCGUGGCCCGGCCUGGCUCUCGGGAACAUAUUUGUCGGCCCGGGCCCGGCCCGGCCCGCGGUGGUGGCGUAUUUUAACGGCCCGGGCCCGGCCCGGCCCGCGGUGCUGGCGUAUUUUGUCGGCCCGGGCUCGGCCCGACCCGGAGCACACAGCCAAUAACAAGCCCAGCCCGGCCCGCGGGCCGGGUCGGGCCGGGUCGGGGGCCCGUGCAGUGCUCUACUCUGGGCUCCUCUGUUGCACCGAACUGCUGUGGAUGUGUUAUUCUGCUCUACAGGUGAUGCCUGGACGUGCUUUCUUGUGUGCGUGUUGGAAGAUACGUCCAGAAGCCCUUAGAUUUGGUGAAGUAAAGGUGCUUUUCACGGAUGGAUGUUCGUGAACGCAAAUGAGUCAGAUGAGGCAUAUGGCUC